GUGUCAGCCGCCGCGGUAACACGUAGGGGACGAGCGUUAUCCGGAUUUACUGGGCGUAAAGAGCGUUGAGGCGGUUCUGUAAGUUGGGCGUGAAAGCCCCGGGCUUAACUCGGGGACGUCGUUCAAUACUGCAGGGCUUGAGGGCAGCAGAGGGAGGUGGAAUUCCCGGUGGAGCGGUGAAAUGCGCAGAUAUCGGGAGGAACACCAGUGGCGAAGGCGGCCUCCUGGGCUGUUCCUGACGCUGAAGGCGAAAGCUAGGGGAGCAAACGGGAUUAGAGACCCCGGUAGUCCUAGCUAUAAACGAUGGAUGCUAGGUGUGGGAGGUAUAGAAUCCUUCCGUGCCAAAGCUAACGCGUUAAGCAUCCCGCCUGGGGACUACGGCCGCAAGGCUAAAACUCAAAUGAAUUGGCGGGG
rnacentral:rRNA from 1 species